rnacentral:rRNA from 1 species
UACGAAGGGGGCUAGCGUUGUUCGGAAUUACUGGGCGUAAAGCGCGCGCAGGCGGCUAUCCAAGUCAGUGGUGAAAGCCCGGAGCUCAACUCCGGAACUGCCAUUGAAACUGUUUAGCUUGAGGAUGAGAGAGGUGAGUGGAAUUCCCAGUGUAGAGGUGAAAUUCGUAGAUAUUGGGAAGAACACCGGUGGCGAAGGCGGCCCCCUGGUUGGAUACUGACGCUGAGACGCGAAAGCGUGGGGAGCAAACAGG